GAUCACUCUAUCAAGGUCAACCAAGUCCCUUGCUUCAUCUUCUCUUUCACUUUCUAUUGGGUUCGAUUUUCUUUCCCAAACCACUUUACUGUUGUUGACCGGACCUUGAGUUUUUUCUCCCAUAUAAAUUGCUUCUUUCCUUUCUAACUUUUUAUCCUCGCUGUUCAGAUCUUUCUUCUAGUUUGUCAUAUUCACAAUUUCCUAAUAUUGACACUCUUAAUGUCUCCAACUCUCGCAUAAUAUGUGAUUAGAAUGGUAUAAGUCCAGCCCUUCUCAAAUUUAGGCGAGAAGUAGUAAAAAUGAUGAAUGUCUAUGUUGGAAGUAGUCGCACAUCUAAAGACAACCAGCUAUUAGGGCCAUUAAAGUGAUGAGGGCCAAUGGGGACUCUUAGCUAUAUAUUUUUAAAUGGGAAGUUUCAAUGCCUGGUGAAAUGUUACAGAUUAGUUUGAAAGAAACUGUCUAUCCAAAUAAUGGAAGAAGCCUGUAGAAAAUGGGACUAUGGGAGUACGACAUAAUCUUCGAACUUUCUCUACUUUGGUUUUGGUGUCAGGAUUCUGUUGGGUUAGGACCAGUGCAAUUCUUUUGGUAUGUUUUAUUUGGAAAUUUGUUCCUGAGAUCAUGCAAGAGCAUCUUGUCUUAAAUGUCUUAGUGUUCUUAUAAAGUGAUAAUGUACUAUUUAUUCUUUUCUUUUCCCUCAAUAUUCUUCCUGGUUCAGCUGCAUGACAAAAUUUGAAUGACUAUGUUGUUUCAUUUGAUUGCUUAUAUGCAGGAAGAUGUCAAGGAUUGGACAAUAGAUGUUAUAACUGACGCACUAACACGAGCUGAAGAAUGUGCUAAACGAGGAUCGAACUAAGCUUUUAAGUCGAUAAUAGUGGUAAGCUAGUUUAACAACAAUUGCUUUUUAUGUACUAGAAAGGCUCUUCAACCUCAGCUGCCCAUUACAACAUACCAUCCUUCUACUAUCAAAACCAGAAUACAUCACUUACCAAGCUCAUGCUUUGAGGCUCCCAUAGUCUCAAUCUUGUCUAGAUAGAGUUGCCCUGAGAAGAGUCAGAAGCAAAUCCGGUUCUCUGUUUGACAAUUUCUUCAGGAUUGGUUUCCAGUCAUCAUAUGCACUAUGCAUGUCAAUAAUUUCAUGGAUUGUUGGGGCAUUCUCUGAGUCCCCUGGAAAAUUUGAGGAAUCCACUGUCUGCAGCAUAAGUUCCAAAAGCACAGAUACCACUUCUGAAGAUGAGGAAGUAUAUAAUCGAAGAAUGGCCUUCAUAGCUCUAGUAAUCUGUUUCUUAGAACCUGAGACAAAUUGUUCUGGAAAAACUCCUAAGACAUUCAGCAUUCCAGAUAUACUGAUAGUAAAGCACUUUGGAACUGUGUCACAGACAAUAUAUACCCGUCCCUUCAAAAAGCAAAAAUCCAGUAUGAACCACUUCAUGAAUUAAGAAAUCAUACACGACUUCACAGAAAGCAACUCUAUACCCUAAUUACUAUGUCAAUGUCAGAGUUAGACUCUAGACAGAAUUAUAAGAAUAUAAACAAAUAUAAAAGAUGCUAAAUUCAACAGUUUAUGAAACCUUGAAAAAAUCCCAAAUGGUGGCAGCUGAUUGCCGAACAGCCCUGAAAUCUGCCGCGCGAACACUUUUAAAUCUCAAAGGACACACUAGUUCAUCUCACUCGCUAAUGUUUUUUCCUUUUAUGAAUGAACUAACAUGCUAACAUUAUCGGUGCAUAAAUUUGACAUUGUACUGAUGCUUUAUUAGUCACAAUGUUUUAAUGCUCAUUUUUCAAUAAAUUGUUGCAGGUCAUUAAGGUGGAUAUAGCAAAUCAGUGUCAAGUGCCAAUACUUUCAUGUGCAGAAGAUUGUCAAAAGAAGCUCAUAAAGUAGACGUAGGAACUCUGCCAAUGAACCAUGAGGUUAUAGAUCUGAGGCUAAAUAGAAUUACCAGAAGUU
rnacentral:lncRNA from 1 species